GUCAUCAUCGGCUGACACAAACGCCAACAUAAAAGCGCAAAGAAAAACGAUGGUGCAGCUUUAGAAUCGUUUUAUAUUCACCAUUGAUUUAAAGUGGUCUGGUCAUUUCUCCCGUCGCACGUAUACUAUCGAAUCAAUAACCAAGUUUCCAAAAUCGUCCUCUGGAUUCAUUUUUUUGGUCAACAAUCAACCUUCAAUAAAUUAUUCUUCAACUCAUAUCACAAAUUACUGACUUUAAUCUAUUACAAUUUUGUUCUUUUCUAAUCCAUCAAUAAAGUUUUCUUUUAAACAAACA